UCCAUAGGUUAAUGAGGCGAACCGGGGGAACUGAAACAUCUAAGUACCCCGAGGAAAAGAAAUCAACCGAGAUUCCCCCAGUAGCGGCGAGCGAACGGGGAGGAGCCCAGAGCCUGAAUCAGCAUGUGUGUUAGUGGAAGCGUCUGGAAAGGCGCGCGAUACAGGGUGACAGCCCCGUACACAAAAGCGCAUGUGCUGUGAGCUCGAUGAGUAGGGCGGGACACGUGGUAUCCUGUCUGAAUAUGGGGGGACCAUCCUCCAAGGCUAAAUACUCCUGACUGACCGAUAGUGAACCAGUACCGUGAGGGAAAGGCGAAAAGAACCCCGGCGAGGGGAGUGAAAAAGAACCUGAAACCGUGUACGUACAAGCAGUGGGAGCACCCUUCGGGGUGUGACUGCGUACCUUUUGUAUAAUGGGUCAGCGACUUAUAUUCUGUAGCAAGGUUAACCGUAUAGGGGAGCCGGAGGGAAACCGAGUCUUAAUUGGGCGUUAAGUUGCAGGGUAUAGACCCGAAACCCGGUGAUCUAGCCAUGGGCAGGUUGAAGGUUGGGUAACACUAACUGGAGGACCGAACCGACUAAUGUUGAAAAAUUAGCGGAUGACCUGUGGCUGGGGGUGAAAGGCCAAUCAAACCGGGAGAUAGCUGGUUCUCCCCGAAAGCUAUUUAGGUAGCGCCUCGUGAAUUCAUCUCCGGGGGUAGAGCACUGUUUCGGCUAGGGGGCCAUCCCGGCUUACCAACCCGAUGCAAACUGCGAAUACCGGAGAAUGUUAUCACGGGAGACACACGGCGGGUGCUAACGUCCGUCGUGAAGAGGGAAACAACCCAGACCGCCAGCUAAGGUCCCAAAGUCAUGGUUAAGUGGGAAACGAUGUGGGAAGGCCCAGACAGCCAGGAUGUUGGCUUAGAAGCAGCCAUCAUUUAAAGAAAGCGUAAUAGCUCACUGGUCGAGUCGGCCUGCGCGGAAGAUGUAACGGGGCUAAACCAUGCACCGAAGCUGCGGCAGCGAACGUAUCACCCAAGACAACUUUACGGAGUUGACGAUUGACGGAGCGAAGCGACGUCAAAGCGUUCAUUAAAGUCGAGUUGGCUUAGGGAUACGUUCGUUGGGUAGGGGAGCGUUCUGUAAGCCUGUGAAGGUGUGUCGUGAGGCAUGCUGGAGGUAUCAGAAGUGCGAAUGCUGACAUAAGUAACGAUAAAGCGGGUGAAAAGCCCGCUCGCCGGAAGACCAAGGGUUCCUGUCCAACGUUAAUCGGGGCAGGGUGAGUCGACCCCUAAGGCGAGGCCGAAAGGCGUAGUCGAUGGGAAACGGGUUAAUAUUCCCGUACUUGGUGUUACUGCGAAGGGGGGACGGAGAAGGCUAUGUUGGCCGGGCGACGGUUGUCCCGGUUUAAGCGUGUAGGUGUGUGUUCCAGGUAAAUCCGGUUCACUUUAACACUGAGGCGUGACGACGAGGCACUACGGUGCUGAAGCAACAA
rnacentral:rRNA from 1 species